rnacentral:rRNA from 1 species
AGAGUUUGAUCCUGGCUCAGGAUGAACGCUAGCGACAGGCCUAACACAUGCAAGUCGAGGGGCAGCAUGGUGUCAGCUUGCUGAUACCGAUGGCGACCGGCGCACGGGUGAGUAACGCGUAUGUAAUCUACCUGUAACAGAGGGAUAACCCGGAGAAAUCCGGACUAAUACCUCAUAGUACAUAUUAUUCGCAUGAGUUUUAUGUUAAAGAGAUUCGGUUACAGAUGAACAUGCGUUCCAUUAGCUGGUUGGCGGGGUUACGGCCCACCAAGGCAACGAUGGAUAGGGGUUCUGAGAGGAAGGUCCCCCACACUGGUACUGAGACACGGACCAGACUCCUACGGGAGGCAGCAGUGAGGAAUAUUGGUCAAUGGGCGAAAGCCUGAACCAGCCAAGUCGCGUGGAGGAAGACGGCCCUACGGGUUGUAAACUUCUUUUACCUGGGAAUAACGGGCGCUACGUGUAGCGCUGUGCAUGUACCGGGAGAAUAAGCAUCGGCUAAUUCCGUGCCAGCAGCCGCGGUAAUACGGAAGAUGCGAGCGUUAUCCGGAUUUAUUGGGUUUAAAGGGAGCGUAGGCGGGCUUUUAAGUCAGCGGUCAAAUGUCGUGGCUCAACCAUGUCAAGCCGUUGAAACUGUAAGCCUUGAGUCUGCACAGGGCACAUGGAAUUCGUGGUGUAGCGGUGAAAUGCUUAGAUAUCACGAAGAACUCCGAUCGCGAAGGCAUUGUGCCGGGGCAUAACUGACGCUGAGGCUCGAAAGUGCGGGUAUCAAACAGGAUUAGAUACCCUGGUAGUCCGCACGGUAAACGAUGAAUGCUCGCUAUGGGCGAUAUAUUGUCCGUGGCCAAGCGAAAGCGUUAAGCAUUCCACCUGGGGAGUACGCCGGCAACGGUGAAACUCAAAGGAAUUGACGGGGGCCCGCACAAGCGGAGGAACAUGU